CCACUGUAGGAUGAAACACAUCGCCUGUAAGGCCCCUUCUAACCCCGAAACCUACCUCUUGAAACCUACCUCUUUCCUUUAUUAGGUAAGGAAAUUGUCACCAAGAAAGGCCCGGUGAUUUGCCCGUCUCACAGUUAGUUAAUGACAGAAACCGAACCUCUGGUCUCAUAAGCUGCAGUCAUGUAUCCCACAUAUUUUCAAGGGUUCCGACUCCAGGAUCACAACGGACAGAGCACCAAGAGGUUCAUAGAGUGUGAUCGCUGCCACUCCGGGAGAGCAUCGCGUUGAAGGUCACUCCUUGUCUUGCUUCUGAAGAUGCCAUUAGGGACCACUGAUAACCGAUCGCAGGUGCGGCCGAGAACCUCUGCAUCGCCUCAUGUGAUUGGUUGACUCCACUUCAAACGUGCUAUAUACAUCGCACCUGUUUCCAGUCCAGCUGAACACGCUUUGCGUUCUCAUUUUUAACGUCUUAGAAGAACAAGCUCGUGGUUACCAUAGCAACUGUCCGGCGGCGACUUCUGCUUGGAGAUGAGCAUGCCAACAACAAUACUGCUUCUUUUUCUUGAUCUAGACUAGCCUUGCGGGUGGGCCCAGAUCACUCAAGCAGUAAUAGUCACAUUCAUGGAAAGAUGAUCAGCUCAGUUCGACCACCCCGAAAGAGGAAAAGAGGCUGGAAUGUAGUCAAAGAAAGCAAGAUCACACAGGGCUGGAAAGUCAGACCGACGAGUUCAAAGUCAACUCCACAGGCUUUGAGAAAGAGUCCUUGGAGAUUCAAGUACUUUGUUGAUUAACAGAAGAGACAGUACAAAGAGCCAUGAGACCCAGCUUUUGCUUCCAUGGAUCAACAUAUUUCAAUUCAAAAUACUGACUGAGUCCAGGGUAGGGAAUUUAGGAAAGAAUUAUGUACAAACAACCAUCAUUAGAAGAGUUAAAUAGAAAGAGACAAACAUAGGAAUGAUAAGCCAACAGAGGCCCCAGGGAGAAGGUAAUGUGUGAGCUAAGCCUUGAAGAAGUAGGAUCACAUCCUGGGAACGCUGGGGCACCAUUUUCUUCAGUUUCAUUUGACUCUGGACAUCGUGACUGAAAAUGUGCCCUAAGAAGUCCAUUUUGUCUGGAUGACAUACUUGAAAGGAGAAAACCACAAUGUUCAUUUACUUCACAAAUAAAGACAACAUUCACUUAUUUUCA
rnacentral:lncRNA from 1 species